rnacentral:rRNA from 1 species
AACGAACGCUGGCGGCAUGCCUAACACAUGCAAGUCGAACGAGACCUUCGGGUCUAGUGGCGCACGGGUGCGUAACGCGUGGGAACCUGCCCUUAGGUUCGGAAUAAAUCCCCGAAAGGGGUGCUAAUACCGGAUAUUGUCUCCGGACCAAAGAUUUAUCGCCUUUGGAUGGGCCCGCGUUGGAUUAGCUAGUUGGUAGGGUAAAAGCCAACCAAGGCGACGAUCCAUAGCUGGUCUGAGAGGAUGAUCAGCCACACUGGGACUGAGACACGGCCCAGACUCCUACGGGAGGCAGCAGUGGGGAAUAUUGGACAAUGGGCGAAAGCCUGAUCCAGCAAUGCCGCGUGAGUGAUGAAGGCCUUAGGGUUGUAAAGCUCUUUUACCCGGGAUGAUAAUGACAGUACCGGGAGAAUAAGCUCCGGCUAACUCCGUG